AAGUGCGUCCAGACCUCCUCGUUGAAGCCUGAUCUCAGAAGAUAAGCAGGGACAGGCCUGGUUAGCACUUGGAUGGGAGACCGCUGGGAAUACAAGGUGCCACAGGGG
rnacentral:rRNA from 1 species